AAAUUGAAGAGUUUGAUCAUGGCUCAGAUUGAACGCUGGCGGCAGGCCUAACACAUGCAAGUCGAACGGUAACAGGAAGCAGCUUGCUGUUUCGCUGACGAGUGGCGGACGGGUGAGUAAUGUCUGGGAAACUGCCUGAUGGAGGGGGAUAACUACUGGAAACGGUAGCUAAUACCGCAUAACGUCGCAAGACCAAAGAGGGGGACCUUCGGGCCUCUUGCCAUCGGAUGUGCCCAGAUGGGAUUAGCUAGUAGGUGGGGUAACGGCUCACCUAGGCGACGAUCCCUAGCUGGUCUGAGAGGAUGACCAGCCACACUGGAACUGAGACACGGUCCAGACUCCUACGGGAGGCAGCAGUGGGGAAUAUUGCACAAUGGGCGCAAGCCUGAUGCAGCCAUGCCGCGUGUAUGAAGAAGGCCUUCGGGUUGUAAAGUACUUUCAGCGGGGAGGAAGGGAGUAAAGUUAAUACCUUUGCUCAUUGACGUUACCCGCAGAAGAAGCACCGGCUA
rnacentral:rRNA from 1 species